GAAGAAAAGGAAACAAGUAAAAAAUAAAUGAUUACGUUCUAAAUUAAAAAAUUUCGCUCCUUUCUUAUUUUCUCUUUAUUUUUGAGAUAAUUUCUUAUAAUAUUUUGAUUUCAAAUAAUUAAAAAUUUUAUUAAAAUAUUUCGUGAUAGAUAAGAUAUUCUUAAAUAUAGUUAAAACGGUUUUAGAUGCUAGUGUAGGUGUAACCAACGCCGUUUUAACAACGGCAUCACAAAAUCCGACGGCGUGGCGAGCUGAGGGGGAGCCGAGCGGAGCCAGCGAAAGGAAUGCAUGGAUAACACAAGCGUGACCCUGAGUUUGUGACUGUGGGUUUGAAGUCAAAAUCCUAUCUUCGUCUUUCUUAAUUUAUUAAAGUUUACUUUGUGCGUCAUCAUUUGCUCAUGCCACGUCGCUACUUACAUCACGGCUGGCGCCUUCUUUCUUUUGUUUCCAACUUAAGAAUAUCGCCUUCUAGAAAAAAA
rnacentral:lncRNA from 1 species